AGCUUGGUGAGGUUUCAGGGCCACUGCUC
rnacentral:piRNA from 1 species